CAUAGAGACAAAAUUGUAGAGUAACACAGAAAUCCAAAAGGUCAGAUCGUUCCUCUCCACUCUCAUUCAAUCUGAGCCUCAAAGGCAGGUUGCCUCUAGAAAGCAAUGGAGAAAUUCAAAGUUUCCGCUGUAGCUGCGAUUGGGCAUCACCUCUUGGGAAAGAGGGAAAACGAAAACGAAAAGUAGCUCUUUCCAAUCUGAGUGUUUCACAGAAUCAGAACUGUGGAGUUGGAAGAGACCCCAAAAAGCCAUCUAGUCAAAGCCUUCUGCCAUGCAGGAAUCACAGCCGAAGAAUUCCUGACCUCCAUUAAAAAACCUUCAAUGAAGAGGAGUCCACCACUUUCCAAGGUAGCCCAUUCCACUGUCAAACAGCUCCUACCAUCAGAAAGUUGUUCAUAAUGUUUAAUGAGAAUCUCCUUCUUUGUAAACUGAAUCCUUUGGUUCAGGACCUAUCCUCUGGAGCAGUAGAAAACAAGCUUGCUCCUUUGUCCAUGUGACAGCCCUUCCUAUAUUUGAAUAUAACUACUGUGUCACCUCUGA